rnacentral:lncRNA from 10 species
UGAUGGCUUCCUGUGGUCAGGAGACUUCUGGCUGGAGGCUUGACCCCACUUUUCCUGAUGAAUGACCUUUAGAGGUGGCUCCAGGCCCAGGGCCUGACACGUGGCCUGGCUCAGAGUGAACUCUUGAGAAACGUUAGUACACUGAAAAACAAUGAAAAAAAAAAAAGAAUGAAGAAAGAAGAGUCAAGGCAGAUCAACCAGGAUCGACGCAUCUGUGUCCCUCAAGUUAAUGACAUUUGAUAAACAACUUCUUUGUCUGUUCCUUCCCUUUGUC